CCCCUUUCAUCUUGAACACCAUGAUGAUGAGUGAUUAGUUACUUUUGUUCUUGAGGACAUGGGAGAAGUCUUGUCAUAAGUAAUCGUGUGAUUUGGUAUUCGUGUGAUAUUUUUAUGUUAUGUAUGUGGUGAUUCUCUUAGUGGUGUCCUGUGAAUGUGGACUACCUGACACUUCACCAUUCAUGGGCCUAAGGGAACUCAUUGUGGAGUAGUAAUUAGAUGAUGGAUUGUUAGAGUGACAGAAUCUUAAACCCUAGUUUAUGCGCUAUUCCGUAAG
rnacentral:lncRNA from 1 species